rnacentral:rRNA from 1 species
GAGUUUGAUCGUGGCUCAGGACAAACGCUGGCGGGGUGCAUGAGACAUGCAAGUCGAACGGGGUUGAGCGGGCUUGCUCGAUCAACCUAGUGGCGGGACGGCUGAGUAACGCGUAGGUGACCUACCCGGAAGUGGGGAAUAACUGCCCGGAAAGGGUGGCUAAUACCGCAUGUGGUCGGCGAUUCGGUUCGCCGUGCAAAGCCGCAAGGCGCUUCCGGAGGGGCCCUGCGUCCGAUUA